rnacentral:rRNA from 1 species
GAUGAACGCUGGCGGCGUGCCUAAUACAUGCAAGUCGAGCGAACGGACGAGAAGCUUGCUUCUCUGAUGUUAGCGGCGGACGGGUGAGUAACACGUGGAUAACCUACCUAUAAGACUGGGAUAACUUCGGGAAACCGGAGCUAAUACCGGAUAAUAUUUUGAACCGCAUGGUUCAAAAGUGAAAGACGGUCUUGCUGUCACUUAUAGAUGGAUCCGCGCUGCAUUAGCUAGUUGGUAAGGUAACGGCUUACCAAGGCAACGAUGCAUAGCCGACCUGAGAGGGUGAUCGGCCACACUGGAACUGAGACACGGUCCAGACGCCUACGGGAGGCAGCAGUAGGGAAUCUUCCGCAAUGGGCGAAAGCCUGACGGAGCAAGGCCGCGUGAGUGAUGAAGGUCUUCGGAUCGUAAAACUCUGUUAUUAGGGAAGAACAUAUGUGUAAGUAACUGUGCACAUCUUGACGGUACCUAAUCAGAAAGCCACGGCUAACUACGUG